AUCAAGUGCCUUAAGGGUGUUCGGUGGAUGCCUUGGCGCUGAGAGGCGAUGAAGGACGUGCUACGCUGCGAUAAGCCGUGGGGAGCUGCGAAGAAGCUUUGAUCCAUGGAUUUCCGAAUGGGGAAACCCACCUUCGAUAGCCGGAACUCCAAGACCUCAGUCGAAAGACUGUGGUGUGGGGUUCGAACAGAAAUGUGAGAAGCCUAAGCCUUUAGAUUUCGAUCGAAGAGGUUUUGGAUUUCCGGUUAUCAAAAGAAGGUAUGAGACUUCUGAAUACAUAGGAGGUUUCAAGCAAACCCAGGGAACUGAAACAUCUAAGUACCUGGAGGAAAGGACAUCAACAGAGACUCCGUUAGUAGUGGCGAGCGAACGCGGACCAGGCC
rnacentral:rRNA from 1 species